rnacentral:rRNA from 1 species
UAUUGCACAAUGGGGGAAACCCUGAUGCAGCCAUGCCGCGUGUGUGAAGAAGGCCUUCGGGUUGUAAAGCACUUUCAGUAGGGAGGAAAGGGUGUAGUUUAAUACGCUAUAUCUGUGACGUUACCUACAGAAGAAGGACCGGCUAACUCCGUGCCAGCAGCCGCGGUAAUACGGAGGGUCCGAGCGUUAAUCGGAAUUACUGGGCGUAAAGCGUGCGCAGGCGGUUUGUUAAGCGAGAUGUGAAAGCCCUGGGCUCAACCUAGGAAUAGCAUUUCGAACUGGCGAACUAGAGUCUUGUAGAGGGGGGUAGAAUUCCAGGUGUAGCGGUGAAAUGCGUAGAGAUCUGGAGGAAUACCGGUGGCGAAGGCGGCCCCCUGGACAAAGACUGACGCUCAUGCACGAAAGCGUGGGGAGCAAACAGGAUUAGAUACCCUGGUAGUCCACGCCGUAAACGAUGUCUACUCGGAGUUUGGUGUCUUGAACACUGGGCUCUCAAGCUAACGCAUUAAGUAGACCGCCUGGGGAGUACGGCCGCAAGGUUAAAACUCAAAUGAAUUGACGGGGCCCCCCCC